rnacentral:rRNA from 1 species
AGUAAUGCUUGGGAAUCUAGCUUAUGGAGGGGGAUAACUACGGGAAACUGUAGCUAAUACCGCGUAAUAUCGAAAGAUUAAAGUGUGGGACCUUCGGGCCACAUGCCAUAGGAUGAGCCCAAGUGGGAUUAGGUAGUUGGUGAGAUAAAGGCUCACCAAGCCGACGAUCUCUAGCUGGUCUGAGAGGAUGACCAGCCACACUGGGACUGAGACACGGCCCAG